rfam:Ipomoea nil DNA, scaffold: scaffold0164, cultivar: Tokyo-kokei standard.
GCUGGAGUAGCUCAGUUAGUUAGAGCGUGUGGCCCUUAACCACAAGGUCUAAGGUUUAAACCCUUUCUCUAGCG